rnacentral:rRNA from 1 species
AUGUACGUGCGCAAUCUGGCGAGGCGCUUUCACCGCAAAAAAAACCUGGCGUUGCUCUUUAAGCUGGAUAUCAAGAAAGCAUUUGAUUCGGUCCGCUGGGACUAUCUUCUUGACCUCCUUCAUCACUUGGGAUUUCCUCCACGCUUCAGAGGAUGGAUAUCGACUCUCUUGCCAUCAGCCUCUUCGUGUGUCUCGCUCAACGGGAUUCCUGGCAUUCCAAUCAAGCUAGGAAGGGGCUUGAGGCAAGGCGAUCCUCUUUCCCCCUCCUCUUCGUGUUGGCCAUCAACCCUCUUCAUCACAUUCUCAAGAAAGCCACCGCCCAAGGAAAGUUGCACCCGCUUGGUGGUGAUGCAAUGCCAAUCAGAGCAUCACUUUAUGAGGAUGACACGGUGUUUUUCUUUGCGCCCAUCAAAGAUGAGGUCAAGUUCUUUGCGGAUACUCUUGCAAGCUUUGGGGAGGUCUCGGAGCUGA